AUGAACCACCAGACCAAGAUUUGGGACCUGGCCAUGGGUGCUGCUCUGAGAAACUCCAAACUGUUGAAAGUGGUGGGCCAGAGCAGGGACGUAGCAGAGGUUCUUCGGAGACCCAGGCUGGGCUGCAGGGCAGCCGCCUCCUUGACCCCCACCCUCGCCUCCACCACGGCCCCAAAGGUCUUCCCACUGGCCCCCUGCUGUGUGGACACAUCUGGCCCCACGGUGGCCCUGGGCUGUCUGGUCUCCAGCUACUUCCCAGAGCCGGUGACCGUGUCCUGGAACUCAGGCGCCCUGACCAGCGGAGUGCACACCGUCCCGUCCAUCCUGCAGUCCUCGGGGCUCUAUUCCCUCAGCAGCAUGGUGACCGUGCCUGCCAGCAGCUUGGAGAGCCAAACCUACACCUGCAACGUAGCCCACCCAGCCAGCAACACCAAUGUGGACAAGAGAAUUGUCAUAAAAGACUCGAAGUGUUGCCCCAAGUGUCCCGAAUGCCCAGUUCUAGCAGGGCCUUCAGUCUUCAUCUUCCCCCCGAAACCCAAGGACACUCUCACGAUCUCCCGAACGCCCGAGGUCACCUGCGUGGUGGUGGACGUGAGCCCAGACAACCCGCAUAUCCAGUUCACCUGGUAUGUGGAUGGCACGGAGGUGAGCACGGCCAAAAUGAAGCCAAAGGAAGAGCAGUUCAACAGCACCUGCCGCGUGGUCAGCGUUCUCCCCGUCCAGCAGCAGGACUGGCUGAGUGGAAAGGAGUUCAAGUGUAAGGUCAACAAUGAAGACCUCCCGGCCCCCAUUGAGAGGACCAUCUCCAAGGCCAAAGGGCAGGCCCGGGAGCCACAGGUGUACGUCCUGCCGCCACACCCUGAUGAGAUGGCCAAGGACACGGUCAGCGUCACCUGCCUGGUCAAAGACUUCUACCCAUCUGACAUCGACGUCGAGUGGCAGAGCAACAAGCAGACAGAGCCAGAGGGCAAGUACAGCACCACCCCACCCCAGCUGGACAGUGAUGGGUCCUACUUCCUGUACAGCAAGCUCUCGGUGCAGAAGGACAGGUGGAAGCAGGGAGUCAAGUUCACAUGUGCGGUGAUGCACGAGGCUCUCCACAAUCACUCCACGGAGAAAUCCACCUCCCAGUCUCCGGAGGUGGUCCUGGACGAGAGCUGUGUCGAGACCCAGGUCGGGGAGCUGGACGGGCUGUGGACCACCAUCUCCAUCUUCAUCACGCUCUUCCUGCUCAGCGUGUGCUACAGCGCCACCGUCACCCUCUUCAAGGUGAAGUGGAUCUUCUCCUCAGUGGUGGAGCUGAAGAAGACGAUGGUUCCCAGAUACAGGAAUGUGAACAGGCAGGGGCCCUAGGGCCACUCCUCUUGGGCAGGCGUCCAUUGCCACCCAAGAUCCCAGACAAGGUCUGGGUCCGUACAUUCAUGCUGCUCAGCCUGCCGCCCAGACCUGCUCUUCUGCCCUCUGAUCUGCCCAAAGUCUGACCUACCCUCUGACCUCGCGAUCCCCUUCAACCUGGACCUUGCCCUCUGGCCUCAUGGCCACCAUGGGCUGCAUCUUGUCCCCUGACCUCCUUUUGGAGAACCAAGUGGACAGCAGUUGUAACCCUGAGCUGAGCUGAUGGACACUAACUGGCCCCUCCAAGCAACCACCAAGAAACACUGGGGCCAUGUGAACACUGAGUCAUCAAGGCCAACCGUUCCUCACCAGGACUGCCCCAGGGUCAGAUUGUGUGGUCACCCUUGAGGAGAUGAAGUACUGACGCUCCUGUGUCUGUCUGGAUAGGGACCAGCCUUUGUGCAAACUGCAUCCAUGCUGGGCUCCAGGAGGCAGGGUUACCAAGAGGAGACGUGUGCUUUCAGAUCCUUGAGUAGGAACAUCUGCCACCAUGGCCAGGAGGCCCCGGGACCAUCAUCCUCCAACAAGGAAGCUUCCAGGUCACCUCCACCAGAGGAGAACACUUAGGAGGGCCUGGGCCCACGGCAGCUGCUGGAGCCAGGGAAGGUGGGUGUGGCACCAGGGAAGGGCACCACCGGAAAAAGGGUGAGUGUCCAGCCAGAUGGGCAUCCUGGGUGAGGGGGUAACCUGGUCCCAAGUGGGUGUGUCACAGCCUUCAUGGACAGAAGUAGAGAGGCUCCAGGAGAACAGAGCAGCAGGCACAGCAACACUGUUCCUGCAACUGAUUAGGCCUGAGUCACAGUCGACAGGAACUCCAGGUUGUUCCAAGGGGCAGAGGUGAGAGGUAAGACUACCAAGGAGAGAGCCCAUAACUUUGGUGAGCUUGGCCAAAGGGACUGAGCUUAGACCCUCGGCCUCACCAGCCCCAGAACCGAUUCCUGCCUCACGUCUCUGAGGGAUGCCAAGUCAGCAUCUCUAGGUGGGAAGGGCACGGAUGUGCAUGUGAAGGAGAAGCAGAUCGCCACCCUGACUACCCGGGGACAACCUGCAGAGAGAUCGUUCAAA